rnacentral:rRNA from 1 species
GAUGAACGCUGGCGGCGUGCCUAAUACAUGCAAGUCGAGCGAACAGACGAGGAGCUUGCUCCUCUGACGUUAGCGGCGGACGGGUGAGUAACACGUGGAUAACCUACCUAUAAGACUGGGAUAACUUCGGGAAACCGGAGCUAAUACCGGAUAAUAUAUUGAACCGCAUGGUUCAAUAGUGAAAGACGGUUUUGCUGUCACUUAUAGAUGGAUCCGCGCCGCAUUAGAUAUUUGGUAAGGUAACGGCUUACCAAGGCAACGAUGCGUAGCCGACCUGAGAGGGAGAUCGGCCACGCUGGAACUGAGGCACGGACCAGACCCCUACGGGAGGCAGCAGUAGGGAAUCUUCCGCAAUGGGCGAAAUCGUGACGGAGCAACGCCGCGUGAGUGAUGAAGGUCUUCGGAUCGUAAAACUCUGUUAUUAGGGAAGAACAAAUGUGUAAGUAACUAUGCACGUCUUGACGGUACCUAAUCAGAAAGCCACGGCUAACUACGUG